rnacentral:misc_RNA from 1 species
GAUGAAGAACGGCAGCGAAAUGCGAUAAGUAAUGUGAAUUGCAGAAUUCAGUGAAUCAUCGAAUCUUUGAACGCACCUUGCACCCUUUGGCAUUCCGAAGGGUAUGCUCGUUUGAGUGUCAUUGUACUCUCACACUUCUGAUCCUUUGGAUUGGGAGCGGUGGACUUGGGUGUUGCUGCUUUACUGUGGCUCACCUCAAAUGCAUUCGUGCAACUCUUGGUUGGACAUAGUACGGCGUGAUAAGUAUCUUCGCCGGCACCUCGCAAGAGGGUGGCUGAUCAGGAGCUCUGUGCUUUCCAACUGUCUUCAGACAACAACUGACAACUUGACCUCAAAUCGAGUAGGACCACCCGCUGAACUUAAGCAUAUCAAUAAGCGGAGGA